AGAGGAGGGAUAAACGUUUCCAUGGAUGAUCAGGUUGUGAAUGCAUCAGUUGUGUCACUAAGGUCUGGUUAAUAAUCUUGCACUGUGGUGUGUGACGUUAUCACUAUUUCAAUGCUAUUCAAAUGCAACAACAACUCACUUGUAUUUGCAGGACAAGCAACAAAGUAACAUCUGUUCAAUUUAUUUAAUGCAAACCAGAGCACAGACUUUCCAUUCAAACAAUGUUCAAUAUUUGACAAUUCUAGGUCUUUAAAAACAAACAGACCUGUUUGACAUCAGAUGAAAAUAGAGUCUCUUUGUCUCUGAGAAAAUGUUACUGCAAGACAAAAUUACAAUAACUUCGAAAUUGAAACAAAAUGAAAUCAAUCAUACAAAAAGCAGUCAUUUGGUUUCUGUUGCGAGUAUAUGCUUUAAAACAUUUCAGAUGAGAUGACCAGCUGAACCCAAAAAGAUGCCAUUAAAGCACUACAGAUAUAUAUACUGAUCCACUUCCUUGAGGGCAAGCUGAACAGUGCGUUACAACGAUGUGCAGAAAAUUAAUCACUAUGUCAUCGUCAUUCAGAGGUGUCCUCCAGAGAUGUCCAACACCACAAAAAUCACACAAGAUACUUAAGGACUGUAACAUAGAUUGUGUUAAUGUUAAGACUCAUGUUUUGUUGCAUUAUUGUUCAAUGCUAGUUCAAUAAUGUGAAAUUAAAAGACAGAAAUUUCAGUCAAAGCGAAAGUGUGUUUCUUGAUUUCAUUUGUUAUCUUAUAAAAAAAAAAAUUGUGUGAGCUUGAGAUUCUGGCAUCAACUUAGCAUGAAUUCAGGACAGGUAUAGUAAAUGCAUUUGUGAAUUACAUUUCAUCUUAAGGUGAUUUAAAAUACAGUAGUUUGCAAUGCAUUAAAUCUGAAUAGCCACAUCCUUUAGAAUUACAUAAUGUUGUUCAUCAGUGUUUAUCAUCUGGGUCUUCAUCUUAGUUAAGACUGCAUUUCAUGAAACAAAAUAUAAAGCAAAAACAAUUUGCAAAUAAAACACUGUUUUCAGACCAUUUGUUCAAGAGAAAUAAAAAUAAUACAAAAUGGAAACUGUAGCCAAUAGAAGCCACUCCUUUAUUAAAUGUAAUACAUUUCUUGUGGUUGAGUGCACAGAUAAAACACUCUUACAAACUUCAUAUGCUAGCAAUCGCCUACAAUGUAAAAUUUCAGAAUGGCCAGAGAAACAUGUUUUUUUCCUUCUCUAAGCAAAUUAUUCAGUCGUAUGAUUUCGAGGCAAAGACAUGUCUUUUGAAUGCACAUCUAACAAUUUAAUCUGCAAAUGUAUUUCCAUCAUAGUUUGUGCGCAUGUGUUCUAAAAAAAUUUAAAAAAAUCAUCCACCUCAAGCGAAGUGUAUACAUUUAUUAAGCACAUUAUGCGAAUUUUAUUCACAUAAUGGUUUUUCCAUCCAGAAUUUUUCAUGCAAAUUUUGGGAUAUGGCAUAAAAAUGCUGGUUGAUGGAAACCCUGGAAGAAUCUCAUGAUGUUGCUUAACAGCUGUUUAACAUAAGUGUAAUUUGACAACACUGUCAUCAAAAA